AUUGGGUGUAAAGAGCGUGUAGGCGGGUAGGUAAGUCAGAUGUGAAAUUUCGGAGCUCAAACUUCGAAGCUGCAUUUGAAACUACAUACCUUGAGGGUAGACGGAGAAACGGAAUUCCAAGUGUAGCGGUGAAAUGCGUUAGAUAUUUGGAAGAACACCGGUGGCGAAAGCGGUUUUCUAGUUUAUUCCUGACGCUGAGACGCGAGAGCAAGGGGAGCAAACAGGAUUAGAUACCCUGGUAGUCCUUGCCGUAAACGAUGCAUACUUGGUGUAGUUGGACUCAACCCCGACUGUGCCGUAGCUAACGCGUUAAGUAUGCCACCUGGGGAGUACGCCCGCAAGGGUGAAACUCAAAAGAAUUGACGGGGGCCCGCACAAGCAGUGGAGCAUGUGGUUUAAUUCGAUGCAACGCGAAGAACCUUACCCAGGCUUGACAUGUAGAGGACCGCACUAGAGAUAGUGUUUCCCGCAAGGGCCUCUAUACAGGUGCUGCAUGGCU
rnacentral:rRNA from 1 species